rnacentral:lncRNA from 1 species
AGAGGCACUUGAAAUCCUUCCAAGUCCAGUCAAUGUGCGAAAAUAUCCAAAGAUGUCUAGUGGACCCAUGCGCAAGUAACACGAAUCUUUAUUGCCUAAUGCAACAACAUUGUUGAGUCCUAAGUAAAGCUUAUAUUUCUAUAGGACAACAUAAGAUAGUAAGCUUAAAUAUUGCAAUUCUCCCAUGUGUAUGGCCCAG